UACGGAGGGUGCAAGCGUUGUCCGGAUUUACUGGGCGUAAAGGGUGCGUAGGCGGUCUUUCAAGUCAGGAGUGAAAGGCUACGGCUCAACCGUAGUAAGCUCUUGAAACUGUAAGACUUGAGUGCAGGAGAGGAGAGUGGAAUUCCGGGUGUAGCGGUGGAAUGCGUAGAGAUCCGGAAGAACACCGGUGGCGAAGGCGGUGAGCUGGGCAGUUGCUGACACUGAGGCGCGACAGCGUGGGGAGCAAACAGG
rnacentral:rRNA from 1 species